UCCCCCGUGGUCUAGUGGUUAUGAUGCCCCCCUAGUAAGGGGGUGAUCGCUGGUUCAAAUCCGGCCGGGGGAA
rfam:Saitoella complicata NRRL Y-17804 DNA, contig: contig049, whole genome shotgun sequence.